UCAACGGAAAAUCAAAGAGAAAAAGUAUGCACAUGCGCAUGGUUACAACGAAUACAUUGAAGACAUCGACAAUCUUGCUGAUGAAUUCACAAAGCAGGAAAGUUACCAUGGAUCAAAGACAAGAGCUGCCUUGCAGGAAUAUAUGGAUUCAAAGGUCGACGAAGAGCAACAAGUUUACGAAAUGGUUAAGGACAAAACUGACGAUGAAGUUCAACGACAGUUACUUCGCCUUCCACGUACAUUAGUGCAGAUUCCAAAUAUAACUCCAAAGGAAGAGUCAGUCAGAAAGAGGGCGCUAGAGUCCAUUGAAAAGUUUGAGAUUCAUGGGCUUAUGAGAAUUGGGUCGCAAUACAUU